GACACUGACUCUCGAGUUAGGGGGGCAAGAAACAAAAUGACAUGAUACACAUUGAUGAUGUUGCAGGAUAUUGGUCGAGUGAAGUUGUUCAUGCUGAAGGUUGUGAUGUAAAGAACAGGUGGAGUCAGUCACACAUCUACUUCAGUUUUGGUCAAACACAUCUGGAGCAUCAGAGUCGUUCAGACACUGAGAGAGAAUCAUCACAUAAUCAUUCUGUUCAGAGAUCACCACUAAGAUCGGCAGCAUGCGUUCCACAGUUGGUUGUUUGAUACUGGCCAUUCUACUUGGAGCAUCCGUGUCGAAGGCAUCGGUUGAGGUCAGAUUUGCAAAGAUGAGUGAUGAUAUGCAGAAGGACGCUCAACACUCCCUGCUUGUGGCUCAGCUUAUAUACACCAACUACAACGACAUUGCUAACUACAUCGUGAAGGAAUUUGAGAGAAAGCAUGGGGGCACCUGGUACUGCUUUGUGGGGAGCUUUGGUUGCCACUGGAAAAGCAGUUCUAAUGUCUGCUUCUAUGAUGGCAACAAAUAUACUCUGCUCUUCAAGCCCUAACUGAGGAACAGUAACAGAUCAAAUGCAUUUUAUGAUAAAGUGCUGGAGGUUGUAAUAAACUUCAGAGAUGUGAAUUUCUGCUGUGAAAUCUGCUGUUUUUUAUGAAGUAAAUGUAAGAAUAACCUUAAUAUUGUUAGUAAUAUUUCAAGAUGAACGCUUACUAAAAAUCUUUUUUUUUUAUAUAAAAAUCAUGUUCGAAUAUGAUCAUCAGGCUUUUGGGGAAGGUUUAUUUGUUCAUCUCUCAAUCAUCAUUAUAUGUUUAAAACUACAGAGCUUUGAUCAUAAAACUAAGCAUUUAAAUAUCUUACUAAGACAUAUUAUUGGCACAUUUUAUGUAUAUUAUAAAAGAUCUCACUGAUUUACAUUACAAGCAUCAGAAUUUAAUCUUACUUUUUGUCCAUAUAAAAAUCAGCAUCUGCACCAAAUUUCAUAUUUUUGAUGUUUGUGCCUCUGAAUAAAAUUGAGUUGUUUCUUUAA